AUUGAACGCUGGCGGCGUGCUUAACACAUGCAAGUCGUGCGGUAACAGGCGUAGCAAUACGUGCUGACGAGCGGCGAACGGGUGCGUAAUACAUGGGAAUCUGCCUUUUAGCGGGGAAUAACCCGGCGAAAGCCGGGCUAAUGCCGCAUAAGAUCUUCGGAUGAAAGCGGGGGAUCGUAAGACCUCGCGCUGAUAGAUGAGCCCAUGCCGGAUUAGCUAGUUGGGAGGUAACGGCUCACCAAGGCGACGAUCCGUAGCUGGUCUGAGAGGACGGCCAGCCACACUGGGACUGAGACACGGCCCAGACUCCUACGGGAGGCAGCAGUGGGGAAUAUUGGACAAUGGGGAAACCCUGAUCCAGCGACGCCGCGUGUGUGAAGAAGGCCU
rnacentral:rRNA from 1 species